UACGGAGGGUGCAAGCGUUAUCCGGAUUCACUGGGUUUAAAGGGUGCGUAGGCGGGCAGAUAAGUCAGUGGUGAAAUCUCCGAGCUUAACUCGGAAACUGCCGUUGAUACUAUUUGUCUUGAAUAUUGUUGAGGUAGGCGGAAUAUAUCAUGUAGCGGUGAAAUGCAUAGAUAUGAUAUAGAACACCGAUUGCGAAGGCAGCUUACUAAACAAUUAUUGACGCUGAGGCACGAAAGCGUGGGGCUCAAACAGG
rnacentral:rRNA from 1 species